UACGGCAUUCUCGAUUUCCAGGGCAGUCAUUACAUGUCAUUAUCAAGUAACUUGCAUUGAAACCUUCUACUUCGUCCAAUUGUUUAUAAUGAACAGUAAGAAAUCCAGACUUAGCUUCUACAGUAACAGGAUAAUCUGUACUUUCUGUACAGUAAACACCUAAAAGUUGACUCUGGUGACUAGUCGAUGAUGAAACAAAUUGAGGAAGUCCAUCAUAUACAUAAACACUAUUUUCUUGGCAACUAACAUUAAUAUCAUCAUGUAUAGUAAAUUGUAUGACACUUUGAGUUCCUGAGAGCAUGUUGUCUGAUGAAAGAUCUGUUUUUGGACUUACUAUCCAAAGACACUCUCUUGUUGGAGAAUCUCCAAGGUGUACGACUGACCGUCAUAUCUACAAGCUGCGUGACCAUAUCGCGGGCUUGGUGUGGGUAAUUUAUCAAUUGAUGAUUUAGUAGACUCAUUUUUUGCCUUAGAUUCUUGAGCAUAAAUGUUGUCUCUAAUAGAAUCUUCUGCACUUUGUUCUUCCCAAUUUAAUACAUCACUUUUUAUAUGAAAUUUUUGAUAGGGAUUUAGGUUCUCAAGAUUUCUACGAUGUCUAAUGUAACA
rnacentral:misc_RNA from 1 species